CGGCGCGGCAAGCGCAUCUUCGUUGGCCUCCUCAUCUUCAACUUCAUCCUCCUCCUAACCUUCCUCCUCGCUUGGGCCAUCAUCCAGCCCCACAAGCCCCGCUUCGUCCUCCAGGACGUCACCGUCUACACCUUCAACGCCUCCGUCCCCAGCCUCCUCACCAUCAACUUCCAGGUCACCAUCUACUCCCGCAACCCCAACGACAAGCUCGGCAUCUACUACGACCGCCUCGACACCUACGCCACCUACCACAGCCAGCAGAUCACCUACCGUUCCCAGAUCCAACCGUCCUACCAGGGUCACAAGGAGGUCGACGUGUGGUCGCCCUUAGUCUACGGCACGGACGUCCCCGUCGCCCCCUACAACUCCCUCGCGCUGGCCCAGGACCAGUCCUCCGGCGCCGUGAGCCUCCUGAUCAAGAUGGACGGGCGGGUCAGGUGGAAGCUCGGCACAUUCAUCACCGGGCGGUACCACCUCUACGUGAAGUGCCCGGCGUUCAUCACGUUCGGGUCGAAGAUGAACGGGAUCACCGUCGGCGAGAACGCCGUCAAGUACCAGCUGGUCCAGAGGUGCAGCGUCGACGUGUGAGAAGGCGACGGCCUACAUUAAGCCGCCACCAUCACCUAAGCAGAUACACGCGCACAAGCACAUGCACAUGCUCUGUUGUUUUUAUCGGACAAUUAUGGUUCUCCCUCUCUCUCUCGUCUAUUAUUUUUAUUUCUCUUUUUUUCGCAAUUUCAGUCCACUUUGGUACGUGAUAUAUGUUGGGUUUU
rnacentral:lncRNA from 1 species